GUUUGUAAACACUGUGGUUGUUGAAACCUUUUCGUCUAUUAAAGUGUUUAUCUAGCUUGGCCUUUUUUAGAUUGCAAUAAAAUGCCAAAUAUUAACUUUAAAGUAAGAUAUAUGUAAUAAUUUGUUGCUGUUAAAUACUUUCAGAUCCGAACAAUAUGAGUGGAGCUGUGUAUGGUGGAGAUGAAGUCGGAGCUUUAGUCUUAGAUAUUGGCCAGAAUACAAUUAGAGCAGGUUACGGUGGUGAAGACAGCCCUAAGUUAGAUAUACCAUCUGCAGUUGGUACAUGGACUGAAUCAAAUAAUGAUACAGAUGAUGUACAUUACAAAUAUAAUAUUGGUUUAACAGCAAUACAUGUUAAAAAACCAGAUAUGGAACUGGUUACUCUUUUAAAAGAUGGAAUGAUAGAAAAUUGGGAUAUUUUUGAGAAUGUACUUGAUUAUAUCUAUAAGCAAGGUUUAGGUGCAAUUCCAAGGGAUCACCCUAUGUUAAUCACAGAACCACCAUGGAUAACUAUUCCUAAAAGGGAACAAUUAGUUGAAAUGAUGUUUGAAAAAUAUAAAGUUCCUGCAUUAUACUUGGGUAAAAAUGCUGCUUUAGCUGCUUUUGCAAAUGGUCGUCCAACCUGUUUAGUUGUUGAUAGUGGUGCUACUCAUACUUCUGCUGUUCCUGUACAUGAUGGAUUUGUGUUAACACAAGCAGUUGUUAAGUCACCUGUAGGGGGUGACUAUAUAAGUCAACAGUGCAGAAAUUAUCUGGAAGAGAAAGGAAUUGAAAUAAUUCCUCCUUACAUGGUUGCAAGUAAAGAAAUCACAAAACCAGAUGAAGCCCCUAAUUGGCAAAAACGCUCCUCAUUACCUAAAGUUACUAAAUCAUGGCAUAAUUAUAUGAUUAAAGAAGUUAUGCAAGACUUCCAAGCUUCAGUUCUUCAAGUGUCUGAUAAUGUGUAUGAUGAAGAAGUUGUUAAAAGUAUGCCAGCAAUACACUAUGAAUUUCCAAAUGGUUUUCAUAAGGAUUUUGGCGUGGAGCGUUUUAAAAUUCCAGAACCACUUUUUAAUCCAACUGCAGGGGCCAAAGCUGGAAUUCAGCCCAUUCUUGGGGUAGGCCCAUUAGUUACAACGAGUGUUGGAAUGUGUGACAUGGAUAUUAGACCUGCCAUGUAUGGUAAUGUUGUGGUUACUGGAGGCAAUUCAAAUCUGCAAGGUUUUACGGAACGGCUUAAUCGAGAUUUGGCUGCUAAGACUCCACCUAUAUUUAUGGAGACGUUUACUUAAGUGGACAUCAGCCUGAAUCCUUCCGUGUUGAAGCAAUGCUUGAUUAGCAGUACCUGUGCUUUCGUGGUGGUUAUAUGUAUGGGUAAAGUAAAAAAUUAUGCAGAAAGGAAAUACCAUUUUUCAUAAAAAUCGUAUUCGAAUAAUUUAGAAAAGCUGCCUUGUUUGAUUGCAAAUUUUAAAAUGCCUACUUUUAUAAGAUACACUACUAUAAGUGUAUAGUAUUUGGAACUUAAAAAAUGUUCAAUUUAUAUCCAAAAUGAUAUCUGAAAAAAACAGUCUUAUUAAUUUAUUUCAAUAUUUUGUUUUAUAAUAAUUCACACAUUGAGAUGAACUUUGUUACUAAAAAAACAAACAUCAAGUACCUUUUUUACAUUUUAAUUAGCCGCAAUACAGCUUCUAAAGCCAUUGCAUUCAAAAUUCGAUAGCACAUUAUAUUAUCAUUUAAAACUGCUAAUAUAAUCUAUUUACUAACUUAAUUUCCUUACAUCUAUCUGUUUUGGGUAACAACCAUCCCAUCACAAAAUUACUUAAAUAGAAAAUACACUUUCAAAGUAGAGUACCUACCUAAUUAUAGUUUAAUUAUUUCAUUGCACAUCUUAGAUUGAAAGCGUAUUUGUUAUUUGAUUAAUUUUGUCACUCUAUCAGAAAUUGGGUCCAGCUGAUUUCUAAGAAGCUAAAGAAGGAUUUGUGUCUGUAACAGUAAGAAAUCAACUCCCCAUCAACUUUCGAAAUUCAGGAAUUUACCUUCACAUUAGUAACAACUCUUUUUUAUUAAAGCUUUUGAAAUUAACUAAUUAAAUAAAUUUUGGAUAAGUUACUAAAUUUUAGAAAGAAGUGGAUCCAGAUCCUGCCAGUUUGCCACCGUCGUAUUUAUGGAGCUAAUUUGAAGGAAAGUAGAUGUACCUUUACAACAAGGAGAAAUCACCUAAAUCUUCGAAUUAUAUUUUUGUAAAUUUCAGAUACCUGAUUAGUGACUUGAAAAUUAAAUACUUCUUAAGAAAUAAGUUAUUUAAUAACACUUUCAAAGAUUUGUUUGCAUUUGAGGAAACUUUUAAUUUAUAAAUUUAAUUAAGUAACUACUUUUUUGAAAAUGCAUUUUAUUUAAAGUUAGUUCUAAAUAUUAACUUAAGACGUUUUUGUAUUUAAUAAAAGUGAUAUAUCUUGUUUUGCUUACGUAGUAUAAGCCCCAGAAUAAUGGUAUAAUUUAAUAUAUUUGUGUAUUUAUUUAAUGAAACUAAUAUAUACUGUGUAGCUUACUUAGCAUAAGUCGUAGAAUAAUGCAUUAAUUUAAGAUAUUUUUCUUUAUUUAACAAAACUUAUAACGUGUUGCUUACUUACUAUAAGACGUAGAAUAAUGCAUUAAUUUAAGAUAUUUUUCUGUAUUUAAUAAAACUUAUAACUUGUUGCUUAUUUAGUAUAAUCCUUAGAGUAACAUAAUUUUAGAUAGACUAAGUAGCUAGUUAUAAUUAGUUUAAUAUAUUUCUGUAUUUAAUAAAAUUGACUUAACCGUGUUACUUAACUUAGCAUAAGGAGUAGAAUAAUAUAAUUUUAGAUAGAUUUUAAGUAUUAUUAAACGUACAAAUGUGUUAUUAUUAAUACGGUAACCUCUGAAAUUUCGUAAAACAUUCAUAUCAAUAAACCUACUCGUUUUUCUGUUGUAUGUUGUAUGUAUUAUAUAUUAUGCAGUUAU